UGAGGAAUAUUGGGCAAUGCCCGCAAGGGUGACCCAGCAACGCCGCGUGGAGGAUGAAUGUCGUAAGAUUGUAAACUCUUGUUAGAGGGGAAGAAUAGUACCGGUUGGACCGGUAUAUGACUGUACCCUCAGAGAAAGCCCCGGCUAACUACGUGCCAGCAGCCGCGGUAAUACGUAGGGGGCAAGCGUUGUCCGGAUUUACUGGGUGUAAAGGGCGCGCAGGCGGGAUAAAAAGUCAGUGGUGAAAUCCUACAGCUUAACUGUAGAACUGCCUUUGAUACUUUUAUUCUUGAGUUCGGGAGAGAGAGACGGAAUUCCAGGUGUAGUGGUGAAAUACGUAGAUAUCUGGAAGAACACCAGUUGCGAAGGCGGUCUCUUGGUCCGACACUGACGCUGAGGCGCGAAAGCGUGGGGAGCAAACA
rnacentral:rRNA from 1 species